CACAGCUACGACUCACUUCCCCAUUAAUUGGCUGAAACCAGUUCUUACAGGAACUGUCGGUGAUAAAUGUGAGAGUUCUCAGAAAUCAUUCAUUUCUUCCUUCUUCACAGCUAAGGGACACUCCAGGGCAGUGUGGAUGUUUCUUUGUGUUAUCAUUUCUUAAGGACCUCAAUUUUUAGAUCAUUUAUAUGUAUUUUUGUGAUUCUCUCUUGUUAUUAUUUUUCUUCAUUGUUUUUUUUUUGUUUGUUUGUUUUUUUUUAAAUCUGGUAACAGUGUUCUGUCUGUGGUAAAGGUUUUAUAUUGCUUAGCCCUCCUUCUGGGAGAAGUAGAGAUAGAAGAAGGUAACCUUUAGCGUGGAUGAGUAAAAUUGGUGACCUACUUCCCCCCUUUCUUGUCUUCUUAAGCUCUGUUACGCAGUUUGUUGCCUCUCUCCUGAAGACGAACCUUGAGGUGUUGGAGCAACACCGGCAGUGAGUAUCACAACUUUUUUUCUCUAUCUGUUCUACCGUUCUUCUUCUAUCACUGUUUGCUAAUGCAUUGUACAUGCAUAAUUUAUUAGCUAAUUGUAGUGUUGCGGUGGGUUGGUGCUGUCAUUCAUGGUGGAAGAGUGUGGUGUGGCAGAGUUCAUUGUGUGUCUAGGGUUAAAAUGGAGUGGUGACUGUGGCCUGUUCAGGGUCUGGCUCCUGAGGGAUGCUGAGUCAUGCUCAGCAGGUGGAGCUGCUAUGACUGAAGUGUACACUCCCCCACGUCACUCACAACCCCCACCCUCCAUCCCCCUUCCCCUUAGCAAGCGAACCCUGUUGAACUCGAUGCAGGCUGAUCGAGACAGGAGGGGCCCCCAGGGGCUGAGAGGGUGGGGGAAUUCUACUCCCAAUUCCUGCCACUAACAAUCUCUCACAACUCUGUAGAAGCUGUGGAAACAAAGACAUUACACCUUUUAGCUCACUGCUCUUCUAGGAUGAAAACUCGCUCUCCUGGGUGUUUCAGAAGGUGGUGACCAUCUUGUGUGUGUGUGUGUGAGUGUGAAUGAGUGGCAGAGAAAUAUUCAGGGGGUAAAAUUAAAAACUUUGUGUGGGUGUAGUUGUGUGUCAAAAGAGUGAGAAUGAAAUUUUCACCAGGUUGUUUCACUCACAUACUACCUGAGCCUGUCUGUAUUUCUCAAAUUAAAAAAAAAAAGAAGAAGAAGAAUUUUUGAGUCUCUUUGUUCUCCUUUGUACCUGUGAAAAGUAAUUGGCUUCUUACAGAGUUUAAUAUAGUAAAUGGGGCUGGAGAGAUGUAAGGUUGCAGCAUUGUGUUUUGGCAGAACAGCUUUAUUUAAAAGUGCAGGAACUUAUUGACCAUUGAGGCCUUCAGAUUAUGACAUCUAGAUAUAUUUUAUUCUCAAUAAAUCAUACAUAUAUCUCAAUAAAUAAGUCAUCAUUUACAUUUGGGUUAUGAAAUAGUGUUGGUGCUAAACACUGAAACUGUAAUAAAUAUCAGUGAAUCAUACUGUAGUUUCCAGUAGUUACUGUUUAAUUUCCAUAGACUGAGAAACAACUUGUUAGUCAGACCAGGGCUUCACAAUCCUGGUAAUAUGUGCAAUCAUAUGAACAUGAAUUUUUCAGAGAUUGUGGAUGAGUGGAUGGAGGUUCACUAUUCUUGAGCAGUUCACCUUUUUGUGUAUGUUUUAUCUGACUGAGAUCACAACUGUGCUUAUAUUGACAGCAGAAUACUGACUGUUGUUGGGCUGUCACUGUUUAUAUUAAUGAGACUGGCUGAUAGUAUGUCUGACAUUGUGACUACUGUUUUGUGAUAUUGAGGGUUUCAAAUUUAGGUGUAUGUUGUAUAUCUUAUAGAGAUCUUCUCUAAAAUACUCCCUGAUCAGAACCGUGCUUAUAUUGGAAGCAGAAUACUGAUUAUUGAUGGGCUCUCACUGCUUAUGUUAAUGAGACUGGCUAAUAAUAUGUCUGAUAUUGUGACUACUUUUUUUAUGUUUUUCUUUAGGUAAUGCAAUUCAUUCAGAAGUUUCUAAACAAUGUUAAAGAUUUUUGUGUUCUUUUAUGCCUGGUCUUGGCACUCAUAAUAAGGUAUAAUGGGUGCCAAGACCCAAUAUUAAUUAAUGCAAUAUGAUGUAAUUUAUUUUUUGUUCCUUGAUUAUACAAAAGCUUCUUUGCCUCUUUUUUCAUUUUGUAAUUUUUUUUUAGAACUGCUUGUGAAAUGUUUUCUCCCUCAUCUGUGCUUUUUUGUAACACUGCCCUGGUAUGCUAGCCUGGAAGCUUCAGGCAUAUAAAAAAAAAUGGAACAGUGUGGGGUUUCUUUGCUGUUACCUUAGCUGAACCCUGGGCUGAACUCAAUGCACUGUACUGCUGGCAGGAAGGAUAUGAAGAAGAGAGAGAAAGGGGGAUACAAGCAAGAGGCUAAGCAUGUUCAGCUAGCGGACAUGCUCGUCAGUGAAUGGGAAGCACAUUUUGAACCGCUAUAACAGGACAUAUUUGGUUACAAAAUAACAGAAUAUGGCCUCCAACAACCACCUCCUACCAUUCCUCUUUGUCUAUGUGACUACACUGGCAUAGAUGUCCCUCUGAGGGAACCCUUAUAGUAUGUCCCUCUGAGGGAACCCUUUACACCCUUUUAGGAGUCUAAGAUCCCUUAAAGAAUGCCUGAAGAACCUAAGAGUGCACCUUUUUUCCUUUUUAAUCUCAGAUUUGUGAUCAAGAGACCUUUUUUGAAUUGCUUCCUAGUUCUGAACAUUCUAUUUUUUAUUUCUUGGUAAAUUUUGUUUUUCGUAUGACUAUUUGUAUGAUUAUAUAAGUGUAUAUUAACAAAAAUAAACAAGGUUGCAUUAAUGCUUAGUCUGGCUCUUUGUUUCUUGCUGUGGCAUGAUUGAUCACCCUAUACCAAAUGUCUGAGAUAUCUAUAUAUCAUUAUAUCUGUGUGUCAUCUCUCUCAAAAGACCCAUUUAC
ensembl:lncRNA